rnacentral:rRNA from 1 species
UACCAGCACCCCGAGUGGUCGGGACGAUUAUUGGGCCUAAAGCAUCCGUAGCCGGUCAUGCAAGUCUUCCGUUAAAUCCAGCCGCUCAACAGUUGGGCUGCGGAGGAUACUACGUGGCUAGGAGGCGGGAGAGGCAAGCGGUACUCAGUGGGUAGGGGUAAAAUCCUUGAUCCAUUGAAGACCACCAGUGGCGAAGGCGGCUUGCCAGAACGCGCUCGACGGUGAGGGAUGAAAGCUGGGGGAGCAACCAGG